rnacentral:rRNA from 1 species
GAAGUCAAAUUAAGCGUAGUGGUAUCCUGAGUAGCGCGGGACACGAGAAAUCUUGCGUGAAUCUGCCGGGACCAUCCGGUAAGGCUAAAUACUCCCGAGAGACCGAUAGCGAACCAGUACUGUGAAGGAAAGGUGAAAAGCACUUCGAAUAGAAGAGUGAAAUAGUCCCUGAAACCGUGCGCCUACAAGCGGUCGGAGCUGCUUAAGCAGUGACGGCGUGCCUUUUGCAUAAUGAACCUACGAGUUACUUUUUCCGGCAAGGUUAAGCAUCUUGAGAUGUGCAGCCGAAGCGAAAGCGAGUCUGAACAGGGCGUCGAGUCGGAAGGAGUAGACGCGAAACCAAGUGAUCUACCCUUGGUCAGGUUGAAGGUUAGGUAACACUAACUGGAGGACCGAACCGAUAAGCGUUGAAAAGCUUCCGGAUGAACUGAGGGUGGGGGUGAAAGGCUAAUCAAACUUGGAGAUAGCUCGUACUCCCCGAAAUGCAUUUAGGUGCAGCCUUGUGAGUUACUAAUGUGAGGUAGAGCGACUGAUAAGAUGCGAGGGCUUCACCGCCUAUCAAGUCUUGAUAAACUCCGAAUGCGCAUUAGUUCUAUCACAGGAGUGAGGGCAUGGGUGCUAAGGUCCAUGUCCUAAAGGAGAAGAAUCCAGACCAUCAGCUAAGGUCCCCAAAUAAACACUAAGUUGAACUAACGAAGUCAGAUUGCUAAGACAGCUAGGAUGUUGGCUUGGAAGCAGCCAUUCAUUUAAAGAGUGCGUAACAGCUCACUAGUCGAGGAGUUUGGCGUGGAUAAUAAUCGGGCAUUAAGUGUUUUACCGAAGCUAUGGGAUCAGUAAUGAUCGGUAGGGGAGCAUUCCACUCUGCGUCGAAGGUGAAGCGUGAGCUUUGCUGGAGCGUGUGGAAAAGCAAAUGUAGGUAUAAGUAACGAUAAAGGGGGUGAGAAACCCCCUCGCCGAAAGACUAAGGUUUCCUGAUCAACGCUAAUCGGAUCAGGGUUAGUCGGGUCCUAAGGCUCAGCCGAACGGUGAGGCCGAUGGCAGAACAGGUUAAUAUUCCUGUACUACCUUAAGGAGUGACGUGGAGACGGAGCAGUGACAGCGCCGCGGACUGACGGAAUAGUCCGUUGAAGGGUGUAGAUGUUGAUUAUCCCAGGCAAAUCCAGGAUAAGAGUCGAACCUGAUAGUAUGGAGCGUUCUUCGGAACAAUCCAAUAGUGCGUGUAAGCAUACUCCCAAGAAAAUCCGCUAAACUUAAUCCUUAAGGUACCCGUACCGCAAACGGACACACGUAGUCGGGUUGAAUAUACUAAGGCGCUUGAGUGAUUCACGGUUAAGGAACUAGGCAAAUUGACCCUGUAACUUCGGGAUAAAGGGUCCCAACGAGAGUUGGGCGCAGAGAAUAGGUCCAGGCAACUGUUUAACAAAAACACAGGGCUGUGCCAAAUUGAAAGAUUACGUAUACAGCCUGACACCUGCCCGGUGCUGGAAGGUUAAGAGGAGAUGUCAUCGCAAGAGAAGCAUUGAAUUGAAGCCCCAGUAAACGGCGGCCGUAACUAUAACGGUCCUAAGGUAGCGAAAUUCCUUGUCGGGUAAGUUCCGACCUGCACGAAUGGUGUAAUGAUCUGGACACUGUCUCAACCGUGAGCUCAGUGAAAUUGUAGUAUCGGUGAAGAUGCCGAUUACCCGCGAUGGGACGAAAAGACCCCGUGAACCUUUACUAUAGCUUAACAUUGAAUUUGGGUAAUUGAUGUGUAGGAUAGGCCGGAGACUUCGAAGCAGGUACGCCAGUAUUUGUGGAGUCGCUGUUGAAAUACGGCCCUUUGAUUAUUUGAGUUCUAACUCGUGGUACGAGGACACUGUUUGGUGGGUAGUUUGACUGGGGUGGUCGCCUCCAAAAUAGUAACGGAGGCUUCUAAAGGUGCCCUCAGGACGAUUGGUAACCGUCCGUAGAGUGUAAUGGCAUAAGGGCGCUUGACUGGGAGACUAACAAGUCGAUCAGGUAGGAAACUAGAGCAUAGUGAUCCGGUGUUUCCGUAUGGAAGGGACAUCGCUCAAAGGAUAAAAGGUACUCCGGGGAUAACAGGCUGAUCCCUCCCAAGAGCUCAUAUCGACGGAGGGGUUUGGCACCUCGAUGUCGGCUCGUCACAUCCUGGGGCUGGAGAAGGUCCCAAGGGUUGGGCUGUUCGCCCAUUAAAGUGGCACGCGAGCUGGGUUCAGAACGUCGUGAGACAGUUCGGUCUCUAUCUAUCGUGGGCGUAUGAAAUUUGCGUGGCUCUGACACUAGUACGAGAGGACCGUGUUGGACUGACCGCUGGUUUACCAGUUGUGCCGCCAGGUGCAUUGCUGGGUAUCUAAGUCGGGAUUGGAUAAGUGCUGAAAGCAUCUAAGUACGAAGCCAGCCACAAGAUUAGAUUUCUUAGGGUCGUUAAAGACGAUGACGUUGAUAGGAUGCAGGUGUAAAGGUGGUAACAUCAAAGCCGAGCAUUACUAAUUGCCCGUUCACUUUCUUU